rnacentral:rRNA from 1 species
UACCCGCGGCCCGAGUGGUGGUCGAUAUUAUUGAGCCUAAAACGUCCGUAGCCGGUCUCGUAAAUCCCUGGGUAAAUCGGCCAGCUUAACUGUCCGAAUUCCGGGGAGACUGCGGGACUUGGGACCGGGAGAGGUCAGAGGUACUUCCGGGGUAGGGGUAAAAUCCUGUAAUCCUGGAAGGACCACCGGUGGCGAAGGCGUCUGACUAGAACGGAUCCGACGGUGAGGGACGAAGCCCUGGGGCGCAAACGGG